UGAAACGAAUCAGAAGAUCUGGAAGCUGUAUCUUUAAAAGGUUCCCUCUGUGGCUGCUGCCAGAUUUUGGCCUCAGGCUUGAGUCCUGAGCUCCCCCAGGGCUUGAGAAAGGGACAAGAGGAAACUGGUGCUGGGCCCUUCCUGAGGUUCGAGGUUGGAGAGCCACCGUAGGGAAGAGAGGGCCCCUCUCACUCCACCUCCUGGCCCGGGGCCUCGGCCUCUCCCUGGGAGAGUUUGGUGCCCACAGAACAAGGGACCAGCAUUGUUUCGGGAGAGAUAACAGGCUCUGUUUCCAAUGUCCCUCCCCACUGGCCCUGACAGAUACCUCGGUGGUUCCUGACAGGAAAUCCCCUUCUGCCUCAUGGAAAACCCAGACAAGGAAGCAGAGCAGCCCCCAUGGACUGUUCAGGCUCCACCCAGCGUUGUAGAAGUAAAAAAAGGUCCAUCAUCUCAGGCCGGGGUCUGGAAGCCCCUGGGCUCUGACCACACUUACAAGGACACUGCAGCCUGUGAGGAGACACACACAGAACACCAGGCCUCUUACCGUGGCAUCGGCACCAUAGCUUACCAGGUCCACAGUGGUUUUGACUCUUACAUCAACUUGAUGAAGUCUGCAGAGGAACAGGUAUCGCUCCCUCCGUUUGGCAAAUGAGAAAACCACAGCCAAGAGGCUCUGCCGGAGAUCUAACUCAAGGACCAUGACUCCAGUCCUUGCCUCUGCCACAGCCCCAGAGCGCAGCUGAGUCCCAGUGACAGAGUCGGACACUCACGCCAAGCACACCCUGAGCCGGGCCACCUCCCAACCCAUCCCACCCCCUCCCUGUUGGGGUGAACGGGUCCUGCCUGGGGGCAGCAGGUCGUGCGUGGAGGCCUGAAGGAUGCCGAGUGAUGACUCGAGCAGCCGUCUUCUGCUGUGGGGCCUUCCUAGGCCUUCUGAGAGACCAGGUGAAACCAGGAGGCCCUGCCCCAAGCCUUGCCCUGUCUUACUUCAGUAGGUAGAGCUAGGCUCAGGAUGGAACCCUGGGGUUGGCCAAGAUGCCUGGGGCCUCGCUUCUAGCUGCCUCUGCAGCCUGGGAAACCUCUGUCCUCACUUCUGUGCUGGCCUCACCAUGGAGGGGGCUUUCUCUCCCACCUUCCCUACCAAGGACCCCUUUAAUCCCGAAACUGUGUUUUUACCAUACAAACCACAAUUGCUGUGUAACGCUUCCUUCAUUUUCUCAGUUUGUGCUGACCAAGGCUGUGAGAGCCAUCAGACCCCUGGACAGUGGGGACAACCCAUGCCAUGUUCUGCACUGCAGACUCCCACACGAGCCUGCACGUCCGUCCCCUUUCUCGACACUCCUUUGUAAGUCAUUGUUUGACAUUCUUACCCACUCAUAUUCCUUUCCUAUGACUGCUGUAACAAAUCACCACAAACUUGGUUUGAAACAAUAGACAUUUAUCCUCUCACAGUUCUUGAGGCCAGAAGUCUGGACCGAAGGUGUUGGCAGGGUUGGUUCCUGCCGGAUGCUCUGAGGGAG
rnacentral:lncRNA from 1 species